CUCGUAGGCGGCCAACUAAGUCAGACGUGAAAUCCCUCGGCUUAACCGGGGAACUGCGUCUGAUACUGGAUGGCUUGAAUCCGGGAGAGGGAUGUGGAAUUCCAGGUGUAGCGGUGAAAUGCGUAGAUAUCUGGAGGAACACCGGUGGCGAAGGCGGCAUCCUGGACCGGCAUUGACGCUGAGUGAGCGAAAGCCAGGGGAGCAAACG
rnacentral:rRNA from 1 species